CCCUUAGAUGUCCUGGGCGGCACGCGCGCUACAAUGACAGUUUCAUCGAGCUUACAACCUCGACCGAUAGGUCCGGGUAAUCUUUUCAAAGACUGUCGUGAUGGGGAUUGCUGAUUGCAAUUUUUCAGCACCAACGAGGAAUUCCUAGUAAACGCGAGUCAUCAACUCGCAUUGAUUACGUCCCUGCCCUUUGUACACACCGCCCGUCGCUACUACCGAUUGAAUGGCUUAGUGAGAUAUACGGACAGCUGCAGUUGCGGUUCGCCGCUUCAGCGGAUGGAAGUAUAUCAAACUUGAUCAUUUAGAGGAAGUAAAANUCGUAACA
rnacentral:rRNA from 1 species